rnacentral:lncRNA from 1 species
GACAAAAUAUUGCAUGUAUUGAUUGAAAAAUAUAAACACACGUGACAAUGUGUAACAUGUGUUGUGCAUUAGUAGGAAGACAAUAUAUGCACUUGUUCUAGCAUAACACUAAAAGGUAAGAUCAAUACUUUUAUAAACACUUAGUUACUAAUUUAUCUAAUUAGACAUAUUUGAUGUGUUACGAAAAGGUAUAACAUAUUCAACGCUGAGGUAUAAAUAAUAUGGGGACUGUGUCAAAACAUUUAUCGAUUAAACCGGUAAAGAAUCAUGCGUUGUUGUUAUUCAGCAUCUCACACUUAAAUUAUCUAAAUUCAGAACAUUUUGUUUUACAUCAAACGUUUUAAUGUUCUAUGAUAGCAUUUGGUCGUUAGUCAAGAAUGGGAAAUAUGUGUGUUUGUCUGUGUGUGUGAUUUGGGGAUUGGAUGUAUUCGUAUUGCAAGUAUUCACAUUCUGAAUUGAUAAAAUUUACAUGAUAGUAAGCAAGUUUAAAAUUUGUUAUUCAGUUUUGUACAAGUUUAAUGUGUCGCCCCAGUAUACUUGCACAUAACACUUCAGUUUCUAUAUAAGCUGCAAAUGACUUUAUAAACCAUCAUAUUCAAGCUCAUUUCUUUUUGAUAAUUAUCUAUCUGCUCUUGGUUUACAUGCACAGGGUUUGUGUCUCUAUGUAGGUGUAAAGCAUCCUGCCGAUAUUAUGAGUUAGUUCAUUUUUAUCACCAACGUUAACAGUGUUUUGUUACUUCACACCAGUGCCUGUGGUUAGGCGAGGACAGACCGCUCACUUUAAAUAAGAAGAUGUGGUAUGAGUGCAAAUGAGACAUCUCCAUCGAAGUCACUAUGUUUUAAACAGCCACAUUAUUGUUAAUAGUAUGGUCCGAGGUCUGGAGCCUUUUAUUAAGUGGGUUUAGUGCAUUUGUGUCUACCAUAUUUGUUUUCUGUUUCUUUGUUCGUCAUAAAUUAGGUUGUUGGUUUCAUCGUAUUUUUUUUAUGUCGAGGCCUUUUAAAACUUUUCUUUUUUCAAAGUUAAACAGUGGCAUAUAACUGCUGAAGUAAGCUCCCUUUGGACAGUUGUUGGAUAUCUUAGAUGUUCAUCCCUGUCAUUAAAGUACAUACAAAAUGCUCUAAGGUAAGGUGGGUGUGUAAAUAGUAGAUAUGAAUCGCUAUAUAUAUAUAUAAGCCGCAACGUUUAGUUUCAUGAAAAUAUAUACAGUGAUAGGUAGUAAAAAAAAAUGGAUUUUAGCAAGACCUUUGUAUUCAGUGUAAAAUACAUACUGACAUUUAUAAAAGAUCAAUACGUUUAUAAGUAUAUGUAUUUUGUGGCCAUAUGUUCACCAUAGGAUAACAUUGCUUAUAGCUUAUUAUACAAGGUUACAAUUAAUGAUUUAUCGUCCUUGACUUUUAAAAACUGUAUAAGAUAGACAUAAUUAUACUGUUAUGAAUUGAACGACCAAGUAAAUUUAAAGGACACAAAAUACAUGCAUAUAUAAUAUUGAAAUAAAUGUUAAAUUACGCAAUGGGCAAUUAACCAAAGUAAAUACAGCGGGUAAUAAAUUCCAUGCAUCUGAAGCGCUUUACUGAUUUCACCUUCACCAGAAAAGCUCAAGGUCGAAUAUUUGAAAACCAACGAAGUACAAGAACUAUAACAGUUAAAUUGCUAUAUCAGAAGACCUGAAAAAAAUGGCCAAUCCAUUUUUUAUGUUUAAAAGGGAUAAGUAAUUCGGGGAGGCUGCAUAACAUUUUCGAUAAACAAAUUGCCCGAAAGAGGGGACAUGACAUAACUCACAAAAUAUAACCUAUACACUAUAAUGGUCGCGCUGUUUUGGGGUUUUUCGAUCUAGUGAUCAAUCUAAUAAUUUUUUAAAGUACAUGUAAUUAAAAUUAUUCUAUUUUACUAUUAGUUAUCUGAAUGGCAUCCUUCUUCUUUCGUUUUAAUGAGCUUAAGAUACAGUUUGCAUUGACAAACAAAAAUCAAGAACAAUUGGCCAAAAAUAUUAAGAAUACAGGAAAAUGGGACAAACAAAAGUGUGUGAUUGAUGGCAAUAAUAAAUUAAAAAAAACAAUAAUAAGUAAAAAUGUAGAAAAAAACUUACCUGGAGUAGGGGAAAUAAGGCCCAAAUAUUAAUGUAAAUUUAAAAGUUAUCAGAAUUCAAAACUCUCAAAUUUAAAGACAAAUCCUAUUCUGCUUCGAAUUCCGGUUAGUGCAUUGUAGUAUUUAUAAUUACACACAAUAGUUAAUAUUCUGUCCCUCUCCUGUUCCUACCUAUUUAUGUAUUACAAAUCUUCGUGUUUGAUUUGGCAAUAUCUGGUAUUUCUAAGAUGAUUAAUCUAUAAUUUUUAAUAAAUUCCUUGUUAAACAAUUUUGAUGUAAUUUUGUUAUCCUUUCAGAAAAUCCCCAUUAAAAAGCUAUGGGUAAAGGUCAAGGAGGAGGACGAUCUGCAGCAGGUUGCCUGUCAGCUAUCAUAUGGUUUCUUCUGAUAUUUCUGGCAUGGCCGUUAGCAUUUUUACUUUCCUUUGUAUACAUAUUCCUGUUACCAUUUGGAGCAUGCAUAGACCCUAUUAGAUCCAUAAAUGAACAAUUGGUGCGCAUACUACAACUUCCAUAUACCUGUGCUCAGAACAUGAUGACCAUGAAACCUCUUUGCUAAAUGUAGUUUGUCUCCG